rnacentral:rRNA from 1 species
CGGUAGCACAGAGAGCUUGCUCUCGGGUGACGAGUGGCGGACGGGUGAGUAAUGUCUGGGAAACUGCCUGAUGGAGGGGGAUAACUACUGGAAACGGUAGCUAAUACCGCAUAACGUCGCAAGACCAAAGAGGGGGACCUUCGGGCCUCUUGCCAUCAGAUGUGCCCAGAUGGGAUUAGCUAGUAGGUGGGGUAACGGCUCACCUAGGCGACGAUCCCUAGCUGGUCUGAGAGGAUGACCAGCCACACUGGAACUGAGACACGGUCCAGACUCCUACGGGAGGCAGCAGUGGGGAAUAUUGCACAAUGGGCGCAAGCCUGAUGCAGCCAUGCCGCGUGUAUGAAGAAGGCCUUCGGGUUGUAAAGUACUUUCAGCGGGGAGGAAGGUGUUGUGGUUAAUAACCGCAGCAAUUGACGUUACCCGCAGAAGAAGCAUUUUCUAUCUCCGUGCCAGCAGCCGCGGUAAUACGGAGGGUGCAAGCGUGAGUCGGAAUUACUGGGCGUAAAGCGCACGCAGGCGGUCUGUCAAGUCGGAUGUGAAAUCCCCGGGCUCAACCUGGGAACUGCAUUCGAAACUGGCAGGCUAGAGUCUUGUAGAGGGGGGUAGAAUUCCAGGUGUAGCGGUGAAAUGCGUAGAGAUCUGGAGGAAUACCGGUGGCGAAGGCGGCCCCCUGGACAAAGACUGACGCUCAGGUGCGAAAGCGUGGGGAGCAAACAGGAUUAGAUACCCUGGUAGUCCACGCCGUAAACGAUGUCGACUUGGAGGUUGUGCCCUUGAGGCGUGGCUUCCGGAGCUAACGCGUUAAGUCGACCGCCUGGGGAGUACGGCCGCAAGGUUAAAACUCAAAUGAAUUGACGGGGGCCCGCACAAGCGGUGGAGCAUGUGGUUUAAUUCGAUGCAACGCGAAGAACCUUACCUACUCUUGACAUCCAGAGAACUUAGCAGAGAUGCUUUGGUGCCUUCGGGAACUCUGAGACAGGUGCUGCAUGGCUGUCGUCAGCUCGUGUUGUGAAAUGUUGGGUUAAGUCCCGCAACGAGCGCAACCCUUAUCCUUUGUUGCCAGCGGUCCGGCCGGGAACUCAAAGGAGACUGCCAGUGAUAAACUGGAGGAAGGUGGGGAUGACGUCAAGUCAUCAUGGCCCUUACGAGUAGGGCUACACACGUGCUACAAUGGCGCAUACAAAGAGAAGCGAACUCGCGAGAGCAAGCGGACCUCAUAAAGUGCGUCGUAGUCCGGAUUGGAGUCUGCAACUCGACUCCAUGAAGUCGGAAUCGCUAGUAAUCGUAGAUCAGAAUGCUACGGUGAAUACGUUCCCGGGCCUUGUACACACCGCCCGUCACACCAUGGGAGUGGGUUGCAAAAGAAGUAGGUAGCUUAACCUUCGGGAGGGCGCU